UACGAAGGGGGCUAGCGUUGCUCGGAAUUACUGGGCGUAAAGCGCGCGUAGGCGGCUUUGUAAGUUAGAGGUGAAAGCCCGGAGCUCAACUCCGGAAUUGCCUUUAAGACUGCAUCGCUAGAAUCAUGGAGAGGUUAGUGGAAUUCCGAGUGUAGAGGUGAAAUUCGUAGAUAUUCGGAAGAACACCAGUGGCGAGGCGACUAACUGGACAUGUAUUGACGCUGAGGUGGCGAAAGCGUGGGGAGCAAACAGG
rnacentral:rRNA from 1 species